GACGAACGCUGGCGGCGUGCCUAACACAUGCAAGUCGAGCGGAAGGACGAGAAGCUUGCUUCUCUGAUGUUAGCGGAGGACGGGUGUGUCACACGUGUAAAAUCUACCUGACAGACUGGGAACAUUUCGGGAAACCGGCGAUUAUACCGGAUAAUAUUUUGCACCGCAUGGUUCAAAGGUGAAAGACGGUCUUGCUGUCACUAAUAGCUGGUUCCGCGCUGCAUUGGCUAGUUGGUACGGUCAAGGGUUACCAAGGCAACGAUGCGUAGCCGACCUGAUAGGCGGAUCGGCGACACUGGAACUUGGACACGGUCCAGACUCCUACGGGAGGCAGCAGUAGGGUAUCUGCCGCAAUGGGCGAGAGUCUGACGGAGCAAGGCCGCGUGAGUUGUGAAGGUCUUCGGAUCGUAAUACUCUGUUACUGGUUAAGAACAUAUGUGGAAGGAACUGUGCACAGCGUGACGGUACCUAGUCAGAAAGCCACGGCUAACUACGUG
rnacentral:rRNA from 1 species